rnacentral:rRNA from 1 species
GACGAACGCUGGCGGCGUGCUUAACACAUGCAAGUGGAGCGACGAACCAGGGCUUGCCCUGGGGCAGAGCCGCGAACGGGUGAGUAACACGUGGGUAACGUACCCCGAUGACUGGGACAACCCGGGGAAACCCGGGCUAAUACCGGAUGUGCACCCUCACAUCAGUGAGGUGUGUAAAGGAAGCUUCGGCCUCCGCGUUGGGAUCGGCCCGCGGCGCAUUAGCUUGUUGGUGAGGUAACGGCUCACCAAGGCCGCGAUGCGUAGCUGGUCUGAGAGGACGAUCAGCCACACUGGGACUGAGACACGGCCCAGACUCCUACGGGAGGCAGCAGUGGGGAAUCUUGCGCAAUGCGCGAAAGCGUGACGCAGCAACGCCGCGUGGGGGAAGAAGGCCU